rnacentral:rRNA from 1 species
UAGGUCGACCCGCUGAAUUUAAGCAUAUCACUAAGCGGAGGAAAAGAAACUAACCAGGAUUCCCCUAGUAACGGCGAGUGAAGAGGGAAAAGCCCAGCACCGAAGCCUGUGGCAAUUUUGCUGCUAGGCAAUGUGGUGUUUAGGUCGGCUCGUGGGAUCGCCACUCCACUCGAAGUCCAGCAUUGAGUAUGGUUCCCAGGAAUUGGCCCAUAGAGGGUGAAAGGCCCGUACGAGUGGAUGUGUCAGAUAUGUAAGGCGAUUCACCAGGCCGGCCUUAGAGUCGGGUUGUUUGCGAAUGCAGCCCAAAGUGGGUGGUAAACUCCAUCCAAGGCUAAAUACUAGCACGAGUCCGAUAGCGAACAAGUACCGUGAGGGAAAGUUGAAAAGUACUUUGAAGAGAGAGUAAACAGUACGUGAAACCGCAUAGAGGUAAACGGGUGGCGUCAAGCUGCAAGCCCAGAGAAUUCAGUCGGUCAGGGUGUUGUCAUGCGCCCAGCGCAUCUAUCAGUCGGUGUAGGAUUUGGCUAGUCCGCUUGAAGAUGGCGGGCCCAGCUAGCAAUAGCUGGGAUUUGCGUACCGGGCGGUAGCCGGAGCAUGCUAGCCGUCUGUAGGACUGCCUGGCCGAUGCACUUUCUCUGUUGGUGAACACCACGACCGGUGGUACUGCCAGUCUGCUGUAGCCAGCUUCGUUGCAUACUCUGGCCUUUUGGUUGGGGCGUGUGGCGAUCACAGACAAUUUCAGUGCACGGUGCUUGUGUGUUUUUCGCAUGCGGGCAUGUUAUCGGGAACUGGUUGUAAACGGGUCGGCCUGUCGACUUGUCUGUAGUCGUGGUUGAUGGGUGACCCGGUGGGCUAUGGUGGUAUGAAUAACUGUGCAGGGCACCGGAGUUUUCGGUCCGACCAGCAGUAGUCGUUCGCGGCUGCUGUUGCCGGCUGCAUACGCACUGCAGUUUAGCGUGUGCACUGUCUUUGGCAGUAGUACGGGCGGCGCUGUUUACGGCCUGCCAGUCGUUGGGUCUGAUUGUCGUGUCGCCUGCCAAAAUGGUGGGUCCGGCGGUGGCCUGGCGUUGGAUGGUGCCUGUAGACGGAGCUGUCGUUGUGCAGCCGGUAUUUGUGUGCGCGACCUUAUAGUCUGUGGUGUAGUGGUAGACGAGCUACCCGACCCGUCUUGAAACACGGACCAAGGAGUUUAACAUGCGCGCGAGUCAUUGGGUCCUACGAAACCCAGAGGCGCAGUGAAAGUAAAGCUUCGACAUAUAUUGUUCUCGGGGUGUGGUGAGAUCCUGCUGUUUCUCGCAUACAUUUGUCCAGCACUGGGCUAACUAAACGAGCAGUGGGCGCAUCACCGGCCCGUCCCAUGAUGUGGCUAUCUGUCAGUGGCAGUUGUCGCCUUACGGUGGUGGUUGCUUUCUGCGGGUACGUCAUCGGGGCGGAGCAUGAGCGCGCAUGUUGAGACCCGAAAGAUGGUGAACUAUGCUUGCGUAGGUUGAAGCCAGAGGAAACUCUGGUGGAGGACCGCAGCGAUUCUGACGUGCAAAUCGAUCGUCAAACGUGAGUAUAGGGGCGAAAGACUAAUCGAACCAUCUAGUAGCUGGUUCCCUCCGAAGUUUCCCUCAGGAU